GCAACCAUGUAUAUUCCAAGCGUGAUGAAGGGAUUAGAUCAUCGUAUCGUAAAUUAUGCUUACUUCCAACCGCAAAGGCAGACUUUCUUUUUGCUUGUCUCUUUGCUUCGAGGGCCAGCGAACUCUUCACUCUAUAUGACAGAAACAGCCUAGAAUCCAGGGGGAAAUUUGAAAGUCAAUCAAGGAAGGAACUGCAAGAUGGACAGAGCAAGGUCUCGUAGAAAUGUUGAGAUUCGUUUCUCGCAAAUUACGAGAUACGGAAACGUUUAAAGUCAUCUACAGGCGGAAAUCUGUUCAAGACAGUCGCGAACUUUAUAAUAUAAUGGAAUCGUUUUACAUAUUUGCGGACAAACAACACAACACAGUUUUCGUCUAUAAAUACGAAAUAAAAAAUUUAAAUAAAAAUUAUAUUAAUCCUUUCGAUACGAGUUGUUUUUUAACAUCGAUGAUAAAGAAAAUAAUCACAGACUUCGCUGGAUGCAUAAGCAUUCAUAGACAGCAUCAAUGGAAUUUUUUCUGAUGAAUAUGUACUUCUCCUGUAGGAAACUAUGAGAUGACUCGUUUGUUUGUAAGAAAUGUUCAAGAGCAGUUAUGAAAUCAUUUACGGAUUUCACUACGUUUUACAUAUUCGAAACUUUCCAUCUUUGCAUUUCUUUUCUGUCUCCCCUUUCUCAUGAAUACUUGAAUACAUGAUUUUUUCAAAUGCAAAAAAAAAAAGAAAAAAAAAAUGCUAAUUCGUAUAUUACAAAACUUCACAAAAAUAAUCGUAAGAAUCUGAUCUAUUUUUUCUCGUAUAUUUCCUUGUUUGGAAAAAGGAAUAAUUUAUGACUUGUAAUUUGUAAAAUUACGCUAAUAAUAUCAGUUUACUUGUACAAGAUGGCCACCAUACAGAUAUUUGUCACAUUAGAAAAUGUAGACCUAACCAAACAGGAAUAUUACACAUUACAAGUUAACGUACAUAUAUAUGUAGUAUCUAUUUACAAGUAUCGCAGAUUACCUCUUGAAAAGUAAGAAAACAUAAAGACUAAAGUAAAGUUGUAAAUCUAAACUACAGUUCAAGUUAUACAAGGCAUGCAAAGCUUCUCUUGAAACGUUAGGUGCGUACUUCGAUAUACAAUAUAAAGAAACAUAGUCCGCGAGAAAAGCUACAUAGUACAUACCAUACAGAUCCCUCGCCAUAACUUUGUCAAUAUGCGCAACGAAAUCGGUAAUUUUCGCGCCACCACUCAAACACCGUUUCUCUCGCUUUGGAUAAUUGAAUCAAAUCCAGAUCGUCCAUGUUUACAGCGAAGCAACACGUGAUACCGCCAAAAGUGCUUUCCACCCCCUCACAUAACUGACAUCGGCCGUCCGUGGAUCCAACGGAAGGAUUUUGAACGUUGGAGAAUGCGUAACGCUGAUUGGCUAUUGAGCUCGGGGGUCGAUCGUAUAAAGGGACGCCGGGUCGCAACGAGCCUCACAGUACCGCUUCGACUGUGAACGCGAUAGGAAUUGGAUUGUCUAUUUUACAAAGCUCCUUUAUCUUUUGCAAUAAUUACAUUCGAAUGUCUUUUCAAGCGCUAACGAUAUAAUCGACGUUUGGUAAUAUCCAUCGACAAACGGGACAAUUCGGGUGUACAAUCUACGCCUAUAACUGCGCAGUAGGGCAUAUUGUCUCGCAAAGGCCAAAGCUGUAAAUCUUCGUUACUUAUACCGGUUUCAUGAUGAGACGAAUGAGCGAUCGUGGCGGAGAAGGAUCAGGACCAGCUCCUCAGCUAGAUGGCCGAAGAAAUUCGGUCGUUACGAUGGAAAGAGUGUCAUCGACGUUGUUUGGCAGUAAUCGUCAGUUGGACGUUAUGGACAACAUCGCAGACCUAAAAGCGAGGAAGAUGGAGUUAGAACAAUUAUUAAAUAGGCGAAAAUUAACAGUUAAAAUUACGGACGAAUCGAGUCGCUAUGGUUUUCAUUCCUUGUUCGUCAGGAGCCUCGCUAAGGAAGCACGUCUUCGUCGGUGAAGCUUAUAGCAUGGUCGCGAAGAAGCUUAUUUUUCAAUUGGAAUCAUAAAUUAUUAAGCAAUAACAUAGAAAUUUGCUUCAUCCCGCGCUCAAUCGCCAGGGACGUGUCGUAAACUCGGUAUCUCCGCAGGGUAAUUUGGAAUUAUAUUACAGCGGUACAAGUUGCCGAACUUCCUCACCCGCAGAGAUAUCGUGAUCUUCUCGGAAAACUAACAUCUCGUGUUAGUUCAAGUAGCGACCCAUCUUUGCCAGUAGAAGGCGCGCCAAGAGCACGUGAAAGGCUGGUCAUGACACUCGCGGCAUUCACACCUCGAACACAGAAAAAGAUACUUGUUAACGUUCAAGCGGUUCAGAUAUUGAUCAACUUUCGCGCGACACAAACGUUGUUCAAACUUGGAACGCUACAGGCAUUUUUCAACUCUGUUACGAGCAAACUUAUACAUAUUCAUUGAAGACAUACGAAAGAAUACGCGCUGUAUUCGUUAUCAUGCGUUUUUUUUAUUAGAGUUCAGACUUUUAUGGAUCGUCAUUAUUGGAACAGCAAGCGUUCAGUUCUGUUCUUCCCUACGUGCUCAUAAUCUUGGCUGAUAACCGCCAUUCGCUAUAUACAUCGUUGGUAUCGACGUCAAAGGAUUAAUACAGACAAAUACGUCCGUACAAUCCGAUUUGAUUGAUUUUAGAUUUUGCAUCAAACAGAUCUCUAUAUAAACAGAUAAUUUCUGAUUCUAAA